rnacentral:rRNA from 1 species
UCGAACCCUGCAAGGCAGAACGACCUGCGAACAUGUAAUCACACAGGGUGACAGGGAAAUGGGCCAUGGUCCUGAUCCCUUAACCCCUCCUGACAUGUCAUUUGUGGUGCCUUGUUUUGGGCAGCAUGGAUGUCUAGUCAGACCCUAACCAACCCCGGCACGGAAUGUGCCAAGGAAAACAAAAAAUGAAAAGGUCAUGUCUUGCAUUGCCCCGUUCGCGGUGUGCGUGCAUAUCGUGGUCUCUUUGGAAAUACAAACGACUCUCGGCAACGGAUAUCUCGGCUCACGCAUCGAUGAAGAACGUAGCAAAAUGCGAUACUUGGUGUGAAUUGCAGAAUCCCGUGAACCAUCGAGUUUUUGAACGCAAGUUGCGCCCGAAGCCAUCCGGCUGAGGGCACGUCUGCCUGGGCGUCACGCAUCGCGUCGCUCCCAUAUAUCUCCCUUAUGGGUUGUUAUGUUGUUUGGAGCGGAUAAUGGCCUCCCGUGCAUGUUUUUCGGUUGGCCUAAAUAUGAGUUCCCUUUGGUGGACGCACAACUAGUGGUGGUUGAACAGACCCUCGUCUUGUGUUGUGUGUCGUGAGCUCAUAGGGAAGCCCUCAAUUAAGACCCCAAUGUAUCGUCUCUUGACGAUGCUUCGAC